rnacentral:rRNA from 1 species
AAUGAACGUUGGCGGCGUGGAUUAGGCAUGCAAGUCGAGCGGAAAGGCCCGCAAGGGCACUCGAGCGGCGUAAGGGACAGUAAUGUGUAGGUAACGUACCCCUGGGUCUAGGAUAGCUGCGGGAAACUGCAAUUAAUACUAGAUAACGUCUCCGGACCAAAGGUGUGAUUCCACCUGGGGAGCGGCCUACAUCCUAUUAGCUAGUUGGCGAGGUAAUGGCUCACCAAGGCGAAGAUGGGUAGCAGGUGUGAGAGCACGACCUGCGUCACUGGGACUGAGACACUGCCCAGACACCUACGGGUGGCUGCAGUCGAGAAUCUUCGGCAAUGGGCGAAAGCCUGACCGAGCGACGCCGCGUGUGGGAUGAAGGCCUUC